rnacentral:rRNA from 1 species
UACAGAGGUCUCAAGCGUUGUUCGGAUUCAUUGGGCGUAAAGGGUGCGUAGGCGGCGCGGUAAGUCGGAUGUGAAAUCUCGGAGCUUAACUUCGAAACUGCAUUCGAUACUGCCGUGCUUGAGGACUGGAGAGGAGACUGGAAUUUACGGUGUAGCGGUGAAAUGCGUAGAUAUCGUAAGGAAGACCAGUGGCGAAGGCGGGUCUCUGGACAGUUCCUGACACUGAGACACGAAGGCCAGGGGAGCAAACGGG